GUGCUGUCUUUGUCAGCACAUGUACUAAAAUUGGAAUGGCACAGAGAAGACUAGAAUGGCUUCUGCACAUGGAUGACAUGAAAAUUUGUGAAGUAUUCCUAUUUUUA
ensembl:snRNA U6 U6 spliceosomal RNA